AACAUAGUUUUAAGUUAUUUGUCGAAAUAAAGGUGGAAAUGUAAAAUCGAAAUCCAAGCCAUUGUUAAAAGAGAGCCGGCGGCUAAAUCGGUCAUAAAUUUAUACCUCUUAUCAUCGUUUGUUAACAAGAGAAGAAAGAUGUACGGUGUAUCACCAUCAAAAUCAAGCUUGCUUAAGCGUAUUAGGCCUCAGGAUCUUCAAUCUGCUGCUAUUUGGGGCACCGCCGCUCUCGGCGGCGCUAUUUAUCUCGUUCAGCCAUUCGACUGGGUGAGGAAGACUUUUUUUGAGAAACCGGAGCCUGAAGGAAAUUGAAAUGUGAAAUUCUGGUGCUACAAGUUUUUCAAGUAUAAACAUGUAUCAUUUAAUAAUGCAUCAUUUUCGUAGUUGUUUGUUGUCGAAUCUGUCAUGAGAUUCAUUUACUGAAGAUAGUUUUUCUUUUUGAGGGUCCAUGUAUCCGUUGACAAGGUGCACGCAUGAGGACUUGUUGAUGUAAUAAUUUGUGGAUGAAUUUUAAUUAUUAUAUUUGCGUUGCUGUCAA